GCAUGGCUAAAGCAUGCAAGUCGCGGGAGAAGCACCUUCGGGUGUGGACACCGGCGUAAGGGCGAGGAACGGUAUCGAACGUACCCCAAGGUGGAGGAUAGCCUGUGGAAACGCACGGUAAUACUCCAUGUGCUCUUCGGAGGAAAGCUUUGGCGCCUCGGGAGCGGCGAUCGUCCUAUCAGGUAGUUGGUGAGGUAAAGGCUCACCAAGCCGAAGACGGGUAGCGGGUGUGAGAGCAUGACCCGCCGCAUCGGGACUGAGACACUGCCCGGACUCCUACGGGAGGCUGCAGCGACGAAUCUUCCGCAAUGGGCGAAAGCCUGACGGAGCAAUGCCGCGUGUGGGAUGAAGCAUCUUCGAUGUGUAAACCACUGUCAGAAUCUAGGAACACUGACCAGAUUCAAAGGAAGGGCCGGCUAAUUCUGUGCCAGCAGCCGCGGUAAUACAGAAGGCCCGAGCGUUAAUCAGAAUUACUGGGCUUAAAGCGUGCGCAGGCGGUCUAGAUAGUAUCUCGUGAAAUCCCUCGGCUCAACCGGGGAACUGCGGGGUAAACUGCUAGACUUGAGAAAGGUAGGGGCUGAUGGAACCAUGAGUGGAGCGGUGAAAUGCGUAGAUAUUCAUGGGAACGCCGAUGGGGAAGCCGAUCAGCUGGGCCUUUUCUGACGCUCAUGCACGAAAGCGUGGGGAGCAAACAGGAUUAGAUACCCUGGUAGUCCACGCCGUAAACGAUGUGCACUAGGUCGUGGCAACUCUGACGUUGUCGCGGCCGAAGGAAAACUAUUAAGUGCACCGCCUGGGGAGUACGGUCGCAAGGCUAAAACUCAAAGGAAUUGACGGGGGCUCACACAAGCGGUGGAGCAUGUUGCUUAAUUCGAGACAACGCGAAGAACCUUACCUGGGUUUGACAUGCACGGAUUAACUCUGUGAAAGCAGAGCCACGCCUUCGGGUGGAACGUGCACAGGUGCUGCAUGGCUGUCGUCAGCUCGUGCUGUGAAGUGUCGGGUUAAGUCCCUUAACGAGCGAAACCCCUGCCGCUAGUUGCCAACAGAUAAUGCUGGGGACUCUAGCGGGACUGCCGGCGUCAAGUCGGAGGAAGGUGGGGACGACGUCAAGUCCGCAUGGCCUUUAUGCCCAGGGCUGCACACGUGCUACAAUGGCGUAUACAGAGCGACGCGAGACCGCGAGGUGGAGCAAAUCGCAAAAAGUACGCCCCAGUUCGGAUUGCAGGCUGCAACUCGCCUGCAUGAAGUUGGAAUCGCUAGUAAUCGGAGAUCAGCACGCUCCGGUGAAUACGUUCCUGAGCCUUGUACACACCGCCCGUCAAGUCAUGGAAGCAGGCAGCGCCCGAAGUCGCCACGUAUCAGGGGU
rnacentral:rRNA from 1 species